rnacentral:tRNA from 1 species
CAGGAAAUAGUUUAAAUUAAAAUAUAAAUUUUGGAGAUUUAAGAUGGAUAAUAUUUUUUCCUGA